UACGGGGGUGGCGAGCGUUGUUCGGAAUUACUGGGCGUAAAGGGCGCGUAGGCGGGCGGGUAAGUCCCUCGUGAAAGCCCACGGCUCAACCGUGGAAUUGCGGGAGAUACUACUUGUCUUGAGUCCGGGAGAGGAGUGUGGAAUUCCCAGUGUAGCGGUGAAAUGCGUAGAUAUUGGGAGGAACACAGGUGGCGAAGGCGGCACUCUGGACCGGAACUGACGCUGAGGCGCGAAAGCUAGGGGAGCAAACGGG
rnacentral:rRNA from 1 species